UCCCCGGCCGCGUCUGCGACUGCGUUCCUGUGCCUGCGUCCAUGCAUUUCUUUCUCUUUUUAUUCAUGUCCUGUCUUUUUCCUACCGACGACGGAGCGCUGCGAGCAAGAGAGCCGGCAUGGUCAGCUGCUGUCUGGAUCUCCACACAAUGCACUCUUAACCUCUUUAUGCAGACGCUGGAGACACUCUAUGAUGGUGGGUGAUGACAACCGGCAAUGGCAAGUAACUUUUAAGAGCCGUCAUGCCCAAAUGACAAUGAAACCCAAAAUGUGCGCCUGGACUGACGCACGGGCGUUUGCAUGGGCCAUCUCGUUACUAAUUGUACCUGUGAAGAUCAGACUGCCAAGAAGACAGCAGAACAGGCUCCUGACACUCUGUGGCAUGAGGUUGUUGGGGCUUCGAAGUAUAUCUGCGAAGUAAAUUUAUGCAGAAAGCGACAGCCGCACGCACCUGUCCUUCCUGAAAAUUAGCAGCGUGCCGGGCUCCCCCGCGCGCCACUUACAGAGGCCGGUCAUGUCAGAUCGGCUGUGCAGCGCUGAUGUGGGCCCCGGUGCGACCGUCACUGCGCAGGCCGCGGCUGCCGUGCUGCUGCCUCUCAGCUGAGCUGUCAGAGCAUA
rnacentral:lncRNA from 1 species